GAUGAACGCUAGCUACAGGCUUAACACAUGCAAGUCGCGGGGCAGCAUGGGGGUUGCUUGCAAUCCCCGAUGGCGACCGGCGCACGGGUGAGUAGCGCGUAUCCAACCUGCCCUUCACCACGGGAUAACCCGGCGAAAGUCGGAUUAAUACCGUAUGUUGUCCAUUGACGGCAUCCGAUUUGGACGAAAGGCUUGGCGGUGAGGGAUGGGGAUGCGUCCGAUUAGCCAGACGGCGGGGUAACGGCCCACCGUGGCUACGAUCGGUAGGGGUUCUGAGAGGAAGGUCCCCCACACUGGAACUGAGACACGGUCCAGACUCCUACGGGAGGCAGCAGUGAGGAAUAUUGGUCAAUGGGCGUAAGCCUGAACCAGCCAAGUAGCGUGCAGGAUGACGGCCCUAUGGGUUGUAAACUGCUUUUAUGCGGGGAUAAAGUGGCCCACGUGUGGGCUUUUGCAGGUACCGCAUGAAUAAGGACCGGCUAAUUCCGUG
rnacentral:rRNA from 1 species